rnacentral:tRNA from 1 species
AUUUAUAUAGUUUAAUAUAAAACCUUGUAUUUUCAAUGCAAAAAUAAAUAAUUAUUUUAUAAAUA